rnacentral:lncRNA from 1 species
CGGGAGGAUAGCUUGAGCCGGGACACCAUUUUAUCAAGACCAUUUUAAGUCAAGAAAAACAGUUCUUAAAGUUUCUCUUCUAAACGAGGUCAAUAAUUUAUAGCAAAAGAAAUUUCCCAAUCAUGUUGCCUGGUGAUGAUCCUCCAGAGGGCUUCCAGUAGUGAAUUUUGAGCAUUAUCUUUUGUCCUAACUUUGUGAUUGUGAAGUUAAUUUGCACAGGAACAGUUUCCAUCUCUGGAUAUGUCUGUAUACACUUGGUGGAGCCAAAAGAAAAUUUCAAAGAACUUAGAAGGAACAGAAUGCUUUUCAGAGAUGCUUGCAAAGUCAGAACUCUACUCUGGCUCCGUCCCUCCUACCUACUAGCUCUUCAAGACAACCAGACCAUUGCUUCUGGUUCUAUUUUGGGAUGUAACAGUGGAUUCCAAUAUUCCUAUUGGGAGCCUUGACCAAAGAGGUCAUUAAACAAGCAAGGUUUCUUCUUCCCAAUUACCGGCCACAUCUCACAGCAUAAUUUGGAUAUAUAAUGGGGUUUAAAGACUCCUUCCCCUGAUGGGUGCGAAUGAAGAGAAGAAUAGAGUGAAGAGGAAGAGCAUCCUGUCUGCCAAACUUCAGGUUAUCCUCUCCCAACAUAUGGCAAAGCCAGAGCAAGAGAAACCAGGUCUCACUUCUUAUUCCCUCCUCCCUGAUCUCUUAUAGGAACCUAUCUUUAAACCUCCAGAGUUUUCAAAGUAUUAGCAAGCACAUUUUUAAAUGCCAUAUUUCUUCCUCCCAUUCCUCCCCUUCACACUCUUUAACCUAAAUUUCGUGUUCAAUGGAGUGAAUCUGGAGGCACUGCCUUGACAUUUCACUAUAAGAACUGAAAGACUGGGAGCGGCAAUGCAAGUAGGAGGCAUAGUGGGUUUGAAUGGGUUUCUAUUCAUCCUAUCAGUGACAGAGAGAUUCCCCCUUAGGGUUAGGAAGAUGGCCAAACACACGACACUAAGCAUUGGACAGAUGAGACCAACAGCAGUUCAUUAGUCACAUAUACCCCAGCCUAGGGGAGGAGGACACAGCACACCAUUCAGGGCCACACAGGGGUUGCAAUCGGGAACAGAAUGAAUAACCAGGGGCUGUGAGAGGCAGGCUUUGUAGUGUCAAGAGGGUGUGGUGCCUCCUGGUUCCCACAGGAGGAUGUAAUUGGCUUGUUUGAAAAACUGCUUAGGAGGAAAUUAAAACCCACUACUCAGGGUUAAAUAGGAACUGCACCUGGUCCCCUCAAAAAGGAGGGUUGUUUGGCUGGGGGGAUGUCAUCUGUGAGAGGAGAGUAGGGAGG